rnacentral:lncRNA from 1 species
GACAUGAAUUCGAGUCCACUUGGAUUCCAUUUAUCCUCGCAUUCGAACUUCGUCGUGUCCGAGCCUCAACCAAGUCCCAAAAACGGAUUGAGAGACAAAAAGCAAGGCUGUCGAUGCGUGUAUACAGAAGAUAUACAUCAAAUAUACAAAAACACUGGGAAAGAAUAGUUGCUGUAUACAGAUGAUAUACACUAAAAUAAUGGAUUGAAAUUCAUGGGAUUCAGGCCCAAAAUCUGGGCAGCCCAU